GACGAACGCUGGCGGCGUGCUUAACACAUGCAAGUCGAACGAAGAGCGAUGGAAGCUUGCUUCUAUCAAUCUUAGUGGCGAACGGGUGAGUAACGCGUAAUCAACCUGCCCUUCAGAGGGGGACAACAGUUGGAAACGACUGCUAAUACCGCAUACGAUCUAAUCUCGGCAUCGAGGAUAGAUGAAAGGUGGCCUCUACAUGUAAGCUAUCACUGCAGGAGGGGAUUGCGUCUGAUUAGCUAGUUGGAGGGGUAACGGCCCACCAAGGCGAUGAUCAGUAGCCGGUCUGAGAGGAUGAACGGCCACAUUGGGACUGAGACACGGCCCAGACUCCUACGGGAGGCAGCAGUGGGGAAUCUUCCGAAAUGGACGAAAGUCUGACGGAGCAACGCCGCGUGAGCGAUGACGGCCUUCGGGUUGUAAAGCUCUGUUAAUCGGGACGAAAGGCCUUCUUGCGAAUAGUGAGAAGGAUUGACGGUACCGGAAGAGAAAGCCACGGCUAACUACGUG
rnacentral:rRNA from 1 species